AAGGCCGAGAGCUGAUGACGAGUGUUCUUUUAGAACACGAAGUGGUUGAUGCCAUGCUUCCAAGAAAAGCUUCUAAGCUUCAGGUAACCAGGAACCGUACCCCAAACCGACACAGGUGGUUGGGUAGAGAAUACCAAGGCGCUUGAGAGAACUCGGGUGAAGGAACUAGGCAAAAUGGCACCGUAACUUCGGGAGAAGGUGCGCCGGUGAGGGUGAAGCAUUUACUGCGUAAGCCCACGCCGGUCGAAGAUACCAGGCCGCUGCGACUGUUUAUUAAAAACACAGCACUCUGCAAACACGAAAGUGGACGUAUAGGGUGUGACGCCUGCCCGGUGCCGGAAGGUUAAUUGAUGGGGUUAGCGCAAGCGAAGCUCUUGAUCGAAGCCCCGGUAAACGGCGGCCGUAACUAUAACGGUCCUAAGGUAGCGAAAUUCCUUGUCGGGUAAGUUCCGACCUGCACGAAUGGCGUAACGAUGGCGGCGCUGUCUCCACCCGAGACUCAGUGAAAUUGAAAUCGCUGUGAAGAUGCAGUGUAUCCGCGGCUAGACGGAAAGACCCCGUGAACCUUUACUAUAGCUUUGCACUGGACUUUGAAUUUGCUUGUGUAGGAUAGGUGGGAGGCUUUGAAGCGUGGACGCCAGUCUGCGUGGAGCCAACCUUGAAAUACCACCCUGGCAACUUUGAGGUUCUAACUCAGGUCCGUUAUCCGGAUCGAGGACAGUGUAUGGUGGGUAGUUUGACUGGGGCGGUCUCCUCCUAAAGAGUAACGGAGGAGUACGAAGGUGCGCUCAGACCGGUCGGAAAUCGGUCGUAGAGUAUAAAGGCAAAAGCGCGCUUGACUGCGAGACAGACACGUCGAGCAGGUACGAAAGUAGGUCUUAGUGAUCCGGUGGUUCUGUAUGGAAGGGCCAUCGCUCAACGGAUAAAAGGUACUCCGGGGAUAACAGGCUGAUACCGCCCAAGAGUUCAUAUCGACGGCGGUGUUUGGCACCUCGAUGUCGGCUCAUCACAUCCUGGGGCUGAAGCCGGUCCCAAGGGUAUGGCUGUUCGCCAUUUAAAGUGGUACGCGAGCUGGGUUUAGAACGUCGUGAGACAGUUCGGUCCCUAUCUGCCGUGGACGUUUGAGAUUUGAGAGGGGCUGCUCCUAGUACGAGAGGACCGGAGUGGACGAACCUCUGGUGUUCCGGUUGUCACGCCAGUGGCAUUGCCGGGUAGCUAUGUUCGGAAAAGAUAACCGCUGAAAGCAUCUAAGCGGGAAACUUGCCUCAAGAUGAGAUCUCACUGGAACCUUGAGUUCCCUGAAGGGCCGUCGAAGACUACGACGUUGAUAGGUUGGGUGUGUAAGCGCUGUGAGGCGUUGAGCUAACCAAUACUAAUUGCCCGUGAGGCUUGACC
rnacentral:rRNA from 1 species